AUUUUGUUGAACAUGAAAGUUGUAGAUCUUUCUCUCCCAUUUCCAAAAAGUCCAAGAUCAUGGAUUUCUCAUUUGCGGUUGAAGAGAUAUGAUAAAAACAUGGCAAGGUGUACAUGGAGCUUCAAACAUGCAUAACUUCUCAACCAAAUGGCCAAAUGGAGUGGUUCUUUUUGCUAAAUUCCUCUCUUGAACUCUAUUAUCCAAAUCUUGCAUUACAUUGCGUCAUUUCUCAUUUCAUGAUCACUUGCAAAAAUCUUGAUUUUUGGAGGGAAUUUUCACAAUUUAAAAUUGG
rnacentral:lncRNA from 1 species